rnacentral:rRNA from 1 species
AAGGCUUCGGGUUGUAAACCCCUUUCAGUUGGGACGAAGCUUCGUCGGUUAAUAGCCGAUUGGAGUGACGGUACCUUCACAAGAAGCACCGGCUAACUACGUGC